rnacentral:lncRNA from 1 species
CCAGCUGUUAAGCUAUUCAUGGGGAAUCAACAAUGUUGGGAAGAUCAAAUGACAUCGGGAAAGGCAACAAACACCUUUGACCUUUGACGAUUCGUUUUUUUUUAUAGAAACACAACAAAAUUUGAAACGUUCUUUUCGCCUCAUCUUCUCCCCUCUCAGCUUAGAACUCCCCCAAAACAAAACCAAACCCUACUAAUAGUGACCAAACCUAAGUAUCAAGAA